AUGGUCCUCCAGCGCUGCACAGUCGGGCAGUUGGAAGAACAGGAGAAAGAGACCUGUGCCUUCUGGGAUGUCAGCCCCGUGAGGCCACCUGACACAGGGAAAUACCUGCCGUGGCCUGAGAUGUGGCAUCCAUGAUGGACAUUUGCAGGACGAUACUGAUGCUCCCGCUGUGCCCCGUCACGGGCUGCCAAGUCCCCCCGAGAAUGUCUCUGUCACCCUAGCUCCUCAUUUGGGGGAAGACAUUUCAGCCCUAAAAUAAAGGAUCCUCUGGAGGAUGGACUGAGAAGACCCUGGGAAGACCAGAGGAUGAGCCUGAGGCCCAGUGAGAGGCAAAGUCAGCACUUUUGCCAAGGCCGAAAUCAGGUGCAUUCACUCCAGGGCUGAUGGAGCAACACAUGUUGCGGGGCUGGCCCUGGGCUGGGCAAUGGAUGGGACCGCGGGUGGAGCGGGCCACUCCUUGGCUUCCUGAGCUCCUGGAGGUCGAUGUGCAGAGACACUAUCUUUGCCUGCAGAUUUCCCAGGAGAAGCUGUCCGUGGCAAAGAGACAUAUCCAGGCAAUAUCGAAGCUCCACUCCAAUGCGGGGGGCUCCCUCCCCAGCUCUCUGCCUCCAGACUCCUAGCAAUGUCGUGCUUGGGAUGGCAUGAUUCCCCUGGAGGUGCCCAGCAGGCCUGCAGGUACACAAGCACUGGCUCCUUGGCUCCAGGCCCAUCUUGAGAAGGUAAGCCUUCCAUUUUCUCUUGCAUUUUCUCUGGUGUGAGUAUGGCAUGAUGUGCAUGCAUGGCUUCUCUCAGAUGCUGAAUAAUCUCUGGGUUUUCCAUCACUCACCAUCAGGGAAACCCCUCAGCCAAAGGCAAGAGAGCCGGCCAGCAUUUCAGGGUCGCAAACUCCCCUCUUCCAGUCUUCUUCCUCUUGUCCUCACUCACAGGCACCACUUGCACUAAAAGAUAAUCACUGCCCCCAUCUCCCAGCACAACUGCCCCUGCUCAGAAGUGGGAUGUUUAUCUCCCAGGCAAGAGGUUGCUACUUAAAAGGAGGUUUGGAACCGAGCAGUGGUGCUUCCGUGGUGGAAUCUUAGGCACCAGGACAAUGUCUGGUAGCAUUUUAGUCACUGAUUAUGUGAGGAUCAAACUAUUCAGUGCCUAAACUCAGAAAACUAAUGAGGGGCAAUGUAGGGCUUCCAGUCUCUUCAGGAAGCUGUGGUGGCCCAGAGGCAGGGAGGAGGGGAAAGUAGGAGGAGGAAACACACCUACUCCAUGCUUUGCCUGUGCCCUGUGGUUGCAGAUUUCCCCAGAUCAGUAUCAGUCCACCAGUAUCAGAGGGGACUCUCUCCCUCUCCCAAAGUGAGUGCCCACUUGGUUCCAGUGGCUUUUGUGCAGGAGUGAGGAAAGCCAGAAAUGGUCGGGGCGGGGUGCAGGGUGCAGUGGGAGGCCUGGCCCUAUCUUCAGGGCACAAGUCUUCAGCCUCCCUGAGAUUCUUAAUCGUGCUGCCAAGGCAGAGCAAGUCCUGCAACUUUAUGGACUUGGCCAAGGAGUGGGAAAGGGCUCUUCCCAGGCAGUGCUGCUGAGUAAAUCCUCGUCUAGCAGACUUGGGGACCUGCUGCUGGGGAAGAGAGAGGGACCCAGAGUUCUGGAUCACUGUUCUAGACCCUCUUCUCUCAAGGGAAGGUGACCACGGGGUUGCCGGUUGGGGCUGACAUAUGACUGGAGGGGAUCAGGGGUCCAUGGGUUCUAAAGUUGGAUCAGAUGCCACACACCCUUCACCCUGCCUUCCUCCACAUUGCCAGUGGACCUCAGAUGCUUACUUGCACUGAAGAGGGCCCCGGUGCCCUGCUGCUCCUCUCUGAGGCCAGCAGUGGGGUCAACAGCUCAGCUCCUCACACUCCUCUCUGCAGGCCUUCUCUGUCUGGCCGGCUUCUCAGCUCUGGACCAUCUUCCUCUCCAGAUUCAAAAAAUCUCUCUGUGCUGCCCUCCCAGAGUCCAAAUUCCUCCCACCACUUUGUUUUUUGUUUCCUUUUUAGGGCCACACCCGCAACAUAUGGAAGUUCCCAGGCUAAGGGUCAAAUCAGAGCUGUAGCUGCUGGCCUACACCACAGCCACAAUAUCCUUACCCCCUGAGUGGGGCCAGGGAUCGAACCUGUAUCCUCAGGGAUUCUAAUCCGGUUCAUUACCACUGAGCCACAACAGGAACUCCCCUCCUGCCACUUUCAAGGCCCUUCUCAGCACCCACCACUGAUCUUCCCUCCGACCAUCCCUCGAGCCAGUGGGUCUCUUCCCUGUUCUAGGCGCUGGACUCAUGCUGCUUCCUUUAUCUCAUCAUUUCCCAUCCCCAAGACAACCUUUCUCCUCUUUUGCAUCCAUUUGAUUCUAUAUUACAUGCCUCCUCAUCAUCCCUUACUCCAUGUUCAGCUUUAUAUUUCCACUGUGCCCAGUACCACUGUCCGGAACUUCUCCAAUAUUCCAUCAUCACUGCCCUCAGCACCACCAUCACCACUGUGCUCAUGUCACCACCAACACCACUCUCACCACCACCAAACCACCACCACUGGCCCUUCCAUCAGUCACGCUGCCUCUCACCGCCAUCAUCACACCUCAUGGCUACCACCACUGCCCUGUGUCAGUGCCACCACCGCCAUCUCCAUCAUCAACGCCAUCACCACCACCGUCACCAUCGCCAUUCUCAACAUCAUCCUAAAUCACCACCACCUCGACCAUAACUGCCAUCCCACUGUCAAUACCACCCCUGCUAAAUCUCACCACCACUGUCCUCGCCACAGGAUCACUCCUCAUUAUCACCACCGCUGCCCUCAUCACGGUCACCACCAUUUGAAGGGACGUGAUGUCUCCCCGAACAAAAUCGAUCAUGGAACCGUCCAUAGAGGGAGGGGCAGCUGGAUCACAUGGCCCCCAUUCUUGCUCCCUGGGAUUCUUCAUCUUUUGAGAAAUCUGUCACCCAUUGCCAUUUUUGUCACCAAAGUGGUCACAGGGGCCCUUUGUUUAAUACCUCAGUGCAUAACUGAGACAAACUGGGUGGUUUAUAGUAAGCAGGACAAUAAUACAAGCUGCUGAUGAGAGGGUAAAUUGGCAAGAACUUUUUAAAAAGUAGUUUAACAACAUGACAUAGCGUUUGGAAAGUGCAUUUUCAGAAAUUUUACUUCUAAGAACCUGUCCUCAGGAAAUCAUUAGAUAAAUGUGCUAAGAUGAUGUGUGGGUGUUAUAAUAGCAAAUACUGGAAAUAGCCGAAAUACAUAGCGGAAAAAGUGAUGGUUUAAAGAACCAUAUGGACUAAUAUGCAGCUGGUAAAAUAGAAAAAUAUAGAUUUACCUAUUGACAUAAAAUUUGCCGAUUCUAUAUGGUUAGUGAAAAAGAGCAGGUUUCAUGGCAGCAUUUGUGGGAUAAACCCCACUCUGAAAAAUAUAAACGUGUCCAUAAAACAAGGUGAAAAUAUUUCAUCUUAACAGCUGGCACCAAAAUUCUCCUUAGACAGGAAACUGUCUUUUUUUUGGGGUGGGGGAAAAUACUUGGGGCAACAGUUUCCACAAAGGAUGACUGCAAAGCACUCAGCAUGAGAAAAGGGAAGGAAUUCCUCUUCCUCUUGAGGAAGAUGGCAGAGCAGGAUGGCAUGAUCUGGGCAGAAUGGAGAGAGAUGGGGGAGCAGGCAUGGAGGAGCGAGGUUGAGAUGGGGGCGCGUGCCAGAAAACUCUCUGGUGGGAGGGUGGUGGAGGAAAGCUUUAAGAGCUGGGGUUCCGGCCCUCUGCUUGUAGGCUGCAGUAUGGGCCUUUUCUUCUUCUCCCUCACACCAAAUAUUUAAUCAGCUCUUCUAGGGAGUUCCCUUGUGACUCAGCACAUUAAGAACCUGACUAAUGGAGUUCCCGUCAUAGCGCAGUGGUUAACGAAUCCGACUAGGAACCAUGAGGUUGCGGGUUCGAUCCCUUGCCUUGCUCAGUGGGUUAAGGAUCCGGCGUUGCCAUGAGCUGUGGUGUAGGUCACAGACGCGGCUCAGAUCCUGCAUUGCUGUGGCUCUGGUGUAGGCCGAUGGCUACAGCUCCAAUUUGACCCCUAGCCUGGGAACUUCCGUAUGCCGCGAGAGCAGCCCAAGAAAAUGGCAAAAAGACAAAAAG
ensembl:lncRNA